rnacentral:misc_RNA from 1 species
CAGAGUUGCAAAACUCCAAACCAUUGUGAAUCUACCUUCGCCGUUGCUUCGGCGGGUGGCCCGGGCCCUGCCCGGCGCCCCUCGGCCCCACUCGGGGCGCCCGCCGGAGGUAAACCAAACUCUUAAAUUGUAUGGCCUCUCUGAGUCUUCUGUACUGAAUAAGUCA